CGGCAGGCUUAACACAUGCAAGUCGAGCGGGGGAAGGUAGCUUGCUACCGGACCUAGCGGCGGACGGGUGAGUAAUGCUUAGGAAUCUGCCUAUUAGUGGGGGACAACAUCUCGAAAGGGAUGCUAAUACCGCAUACGUCCUACGGGAGAAAGCAGGGGAUCUUCGGACCUUGCGCUAAUAGAUGAGCCUAAGUCGGAUUAGCUAGUUGGUGGGGUAAAGGCCUACCAAGGCGACGAUCUGUAGCGGGUCUGAGAGGAUGAUCCGCCACACUGGGACUGAGACACGGCCCAGACUCCUACGGGAGGCAGCAGUGGGGAAUAUUGGACAAUGGGGGGAACCCUGAUCCAGCCAUGCCGCGUGU
rnacentral:rRNA from 1 species